rnacentral:rRNA from 1 species
CCUACGGGAGGCAGCAGUGAGGAAUAUUGGUCAAUGGGCGGAAGCCUGAACCAGCCAAGUAGCGUGCAGGAUGACGGCCCUACGGGUUGUAAACUGCUUUUAUACGGGAAUAACGCGCCUUACGUGUAGGGCUUUGCAUGUACCGUAUGAAUAAGGACCGGCUAAUUCCGUGCCAGCAGCCGCGGUAAUACGGAAGGUCCGGGCGUUAUCCGGAUUUAUUGGGUUUAAAGGGAGCGUAGGCCGCAUGUCAAGCGUGCUGUGAAAUGUCCGGGCUCAACCCGGGCCUUGCAGCGCGAACUGGCGUGCUUGAGUCCGCGGAAGGCAGGCGGAAUUCGUCGUGGAGCGGUGAAAUGCUUAGAUAUGACGAAGAACCCCGAUUGCGAAGGCAGCUUGAUGCAGCGGAACUGACGAUGAUGCUCGAAAGCGCGGGGAUCGAACAGGAUUAGAUACCCUUGUAGUC